GGUGACCUGUGUGGUGUGUCAAGUGUGUAAGUGUAGUUUGAAGUGAACGUUCCUGGGGUAUCUAGCAUUGUAAUUGUCGGCUUACAAAAGAGAGGGCGCUUAAGUGGGAAAGGACAAUUGUCUAUUUAAAGGUUGUUCUACUACAGUCAACUAGACUAGGUCUAGAUCGUAUUCAUGAAUUGAAUACUUUUGACAUUUCACAAUAAAAGUAGAUCAAGAUUCAGAAUAAAAUCUCUGUUGGUGGAUUUCAAUGAGAUUUAUCUUCUAACUAAAAGGAUUUAAAUAGGCAACAUACGUUUGGAUUAAGAGUAUCGGAUCCCGAGGAUGGCUACCAGGCCAAGAGGCUAUGGCUUGACUGGAGAAGUAAAUCGAAAAAUCGCCAGUAAAUAUGAUUUGGAGCUGGAACAAAGAGCACGAUUAUGGAUUGAAGCUGUACUAGAAGAACAAAUAUCUGAUGAAGACAGAAGUCAAUCCCUUGGCAUGGACAGAUUUCAAGAUGCUCUAAAAGAUGGAACAAUCUUAUGCAAGUAUGAGAGUCAAUAGUUUAG
rnacentral:sRNA from 1 species